GGAGAGAUGUCCGAGUUGGCUGAAGGAGCACGAUUGGAAAUCGUGUGUGCUGUCAAAAACGGCACCGUGGGUUCGAACCCCACUCUCUCCGCCA
rnacentral:tRNA from 1 species